rnacentral:rRNA from 1 species
UAUGAAAGCGGGCUGGCAUCCUUCGGGGUUACAGCCUUGCUGAAUUAUUCACCCGUGUCUUUUGCGUACUUCUUGUUUCCUUGGUGGGUUCGCCCACCAUAGGACAAACCAUAAACCUUUUGUAAUUGCAAUCAGCGUCAGUAAAAAAAAUUAAUAAUUACAACUUUUAACAACGGAUCUCUUGGUUCUGGCAUCGAUGAAGAACGCAGCGAAAUGCGAUAAGUAGUGUGAAUUGCAGAAUUCAGUGAAUCAUCGAAUCUUUGAACGCACAUUGCGCCCUUUGGUAUUCCAAAGGGCAUGCCUGUUCGAGCGUCAUUUGUACCCUCAAGCUUUGCUUGGUGUUGGGCGUCUUGUCUCCAGUUCGCUGGAGACUCGCCUUAAAGUAAUUGGCAGCCGGCCUACUGGUUUCGGAGCGCAGCACAAGUCGCGCUCUCUUCCAGCCAAGGUCAGCAUCCACAAAGCCUUUUUUCAACUUUUGACCUCGGAUCAGGUAGGGAUACCCGCUGAACUUAAGCAUAUCAAUAAGGCGGAGGAAA